rnacentral:sRNA from 2 species
AAAAGUAACAAGGUCUCCGUUGGUGAACCAGCGGAGGGAUCAUUACCGAGUUUACAACUCCCAAACCCCUGUGAACAUACCUUAAUGUUGCCUCGGCGGAUCAGCCCGCGCCCCGUAAAACGGGACGGCCCGCCAGAGGACCCAAACUCUAAUGUUUCUUAUUGUAACUUCUGAGUAAAACAAACAAAUAAAUCAAAACUUUCAACAACGGAUCUCUUGGUUCUGGCAUCGAUGAAGAACGCAGCAAAAUGCGAUAAGUAAUGUGAAUUGCAGAAUUCAGUGAAUCAUCGAAUCUUUGAACGCACAUUGCGCCCGCUGGUAUUCCGGCGGGCAUGCCUGUUCGAGCGUCAUUUCAACCCUCAAGCCCCCGGGUUUGGUGUUGGGGAUCGGCUCUGCCUUCUGGCGGUGCCGCCCCCGAAAUACAUUGGCGGUCUCGCUGCAGCCUCCAUUGCGUAGUAGCUAACACCUCGCAACUGGAACGCGGCGCGGCCAUGCCGUAAAACCCCAACUUCUGAAUGUUGACCUCGGAUCAGGUAGGAAUACCCGCUGAACUUAAGCAUAUCAAUAAGCGGAGGAAAAGAAACCAACAGGGAUUGCCCUAGUAACGGCGAGUGAAGCGGCAACAGCUCAAAUUUGAAAUCUGGCUUUCGGGCCCGAGUUGUAAUUUGUAGAGGAUACUUUUGAUGCGGUGCCUUCCGAGUUCCCUGGAACGGGACGCCAUAGAGGGUGAGAGCCCCGUCUGGUUGGAUGCCAAAUCUCUGUAAAGUUCCUUCGACGAGUCGAGUAGUUUGGGAAUGCUGCUCUAAAUGGGAGGUAUAUGUCUUCUAAAGCUAAAUAUUGGCCAGAGACCGAUAGCGCACAAGUAGAGUGAUCGAAAGAUGAAAAGCACUUUGAAAAGAGAGUUAAAAAGUACGUGAAAUUGUUGAAAGGGAAGCGUUUAUGACCAGACUUGGACUUGGUUAAUCAUCUGGGGUUCUCUCCAGUGCACUUUUCCAGUUCAGGCCAGCAUCAGUUUUCGCCGGGGGAUAAAGGCAGCGGGAAUGUGGCUCUCUUCGGGGAGUGUUAUAGCCCGCUGUGUAAUACCCUGGUGGGGACUGAGGUUCGCGCUUCUGCAAGGAUGCUGGCGUAAUGGUCAUCAACGACCCGUCUUGAAACACGGACCAAGGAGUCGUCUUCGUAUGCGAGUGUUCGGGUGUCAAACCCCUACGCGUAAUGAAAGUGAACGCAGGUGAGAGCUUCGGCGCAUCAUCGACCGAUCCUGAUGUUCUCGGAUGGAUUUGAGUAAGAGCAUACGGGGCCGGACCCGAAAGAAGGUGAACUAUGCCUGUAUAGGGUGAAGCCAGAGGAAACUCUGGUGGAGGCUCGCAGCGGUUCUGACGUGCAAAUCGAUCGUCAAAUAUGGGCAUGGGGGCGAAAGACUAAUCGAC